rnacentral:rRNA from 1 species
GGGUUGUGAGGUUAAGCGACUAAGCGUACACGGUGGAUGCCCUGGCAGUCAGAGGCGAUGAAGGACGUGCUAAUCUGCGAUAAGCGUCGGUAAGGUGAUAUGAACCGUUAUAACCGGCGAUUUCCGAAUGGGGAAACCCAGUGUGUUUCGACACACUAUCAUUAACUGAAUCCAUAGGUUAAUGAGGCGAACCGGGGGAACUGAAACAUCUAAGUACCCCGAGGAAAAGAAAUCAACCGAGAUUCCCCCAGUAGCGGCGAGCGAACGGGGAGGAGCCCAGAGCCUGAAUCAGUGUGUGUGUUAGUGGAAGCGUCUGGAAAGGCGCGCGAUACAGGGUGACAGCCCCGUACACAAAAAUGCACAUAUUGUGAGCUCGAUGAGUAGGGCGGGACACGUGGUAUCCUGUCUGAAUAUGGGGGGACCAUCCUCCAAGGCUAAAUACUCCUGACUGACCGAUAGUGAACCAGUACCGUGAGGGAAAGGCGAAAAGAACCCCGGCGAGGGGAGUGAAAAAGAACCUGAAACCGUGUACGUACAAGCAGUGGGAGCCUCUUUUAUGGGGUGACUGCGUACCUUUUGUAUAAUGGGUCAGCGACUUAUAUUCUGUAGCAAGGUUAACCGAAUAGGGGAGCCGAAGGGAAACCGAGUCUUAACUGGGCGUUAAGUUGCAGGGUAUAGACCCGAAACCCGGUGAUCUAGCCAUGGGCAGGUUGAAGGUUGGGUAACACUAACUGGAGGACCGAACCGACUAAUGUUGAAAAAUUAGCGGAUGACUUGUGGCUGGGGGUGAAAGGCCAAUCAAACCGGGAGAUAGCUGGUUCUCCCCGAAAGCUAUUUAGGUAGCGCCUCGUGAAUUCAUCUCCGGGGGUAGAGCACUGUUUCGGCAAGGGGGUCAUCCCGACUUACCAACCCGAUGCAAACUGCGAAUACCGGAGAAUGUUAUCACGGGAGACACACGGCGGGUGCUAACGUCCGUCGUGAAGAGGGAAACAACCCAGACCGCCAGCUAAGGUCCCAAAGUCAUGGUUAAGUGGGAAACGAUGUGGGAAGGCCCAGACAGCCAGGAUGUUGGCUUAGAAGCAGCCAUCAUUUAAAGAAAGCGUAAUAGCUCACUGGUCGAGUCGGCCUGCGCGGAAGAUGUAACGGGGCUAAACCAUGCACCGAAGCUGCGGCAGCGACACUAUGUGUUGUUGGGUAGGGGAGCGUUCUGUAAGCCUGUGAAGGUGUGCUGUGAGGCAUGCUGGAGGUAUCAGAAGUGCGAAUGCUGACAUAAGUAACGAUAAAGCGGGUGAAAAGCCCGCUCGCCGGAAGACCAAGGGUUCCUGUCCAACGUUAAUCGGGGCAGGGUGAGUCGACCCCUAAGGCGAGGCCGAAAGGCGUAGUCGAUGGGAAACAGGUUAAUAUUCCUGUACUUGGUGUUACUGCGAAGGGGGGACGGAGAAGGCUAUGUUGGCCGGGCGACGGUUGUCCCGGUUUAAGCGUGUAGGCUGGUUUUCCAGGCAAAUCCGGAAAAUCAAGGCUGAGGCGUGAUGACGAGGCACUACGGUGCUGAAGCAACAAAUGCCCUGCUUCCAGGAAAAGCCUCUAAGCAUCAGGUAACAUCAAAUCGUACCCCAAACCGACACAGGUGGUCAGGUAGAGAAUACCAAGGCGCUUGAGAGAACUCGGGUGAAGGAACUAGGCAAAAUGGUGCCGUAACUUCGGGAGAAGGCACGCUGAUAUGUAGGUGAAGUCCCUCGCGGAUGGAGCUGAAAUCAGUCGAAGAUACCAGCUGGCUGCAACUGUUUAUUAAAAACACAGCACUGUGCAAACACGAAAGUGGACGUAUACGGUGUGACGCCUGCCCGGUGCCGGAAGGUUAAUUGAUGGGGUUAGCGCAAGCGAAGCUCUUGAUCGAAGCCCCGGUAAACGGCGGCCGUAACUAUAACGGUCCUAAGGUAGCGAAAUUCCUUGUCGGGUAAGUUCCGACCUGCACGAAUGGCGUAAUGAUGGCCAGGCUGUCUCCACCCGAGACUCAGUGAAAUUGAACUCGCUGUGAAGAUGCAGUGUACCCGCGGCAAGACGGAAAGACCCCGUGAACCUUUACUAUAGCUUGACACUGAACAUUGAGCCUUGAUGUGUAGGAUAGGUGGGAGGCUUUGAAGUGUGGACGCCAGUCUGCAUGGAGCCGACCUUGAAAUACCACCCUUUAAUGUUUGAUGUUCUAACGUUGACCCGUAAUCCGGGUUGCGGACAGUGUCUGGUGGGUAGUUUGACUGGGGCGGUCUCCUCCUAAAGAGUAACGGAGGAGCACGAAGGUUGGCUAAUCCUGGUCGGACAUCAGGAGGUUAGUGCAAUGGCAUAAGCCAGCUUGACUGCGAGCGUGACGGCGCGAGCAGGUGCGAAAGCAGGUCAUAGUGAUCCGGUGGUUCUGAAUGGAAGGGCCAUCGCUCAACGGAUAAAAGGUACUCCGGGGAUAACAGGCUGAUACCGCCCAAGAGUUCAUAUCGACGGCGGUGUUUGGCACCUCGAUGUCGGCUCAUCACAUCCUGGGGCUGAAGUAGGUCCCAAGGGUAUGGCUGUUCGCCAUUUAAAGUGGUACGCGAGCUGGGUUUAGAACGUCGUGAGACAGUUCGGUCCCUAUCUGCCGUGGGCGCUGGAGAACUGAGGGGGGCUGCUCCUAGUACGAGAGGACCGGAGUGGACGCAUCACUGGUGUUCGGGUUGUCAUGCCAAUGGCACUGCCCGGUAGCUAAAUGCGGAAGAGAUAAGUGCUGAAAGCAUCUAAGCACGAAACUUGCCCCGAGAUGAGUUCUCCCUGACCCUUUAAGGGUCCUGAAGGAACGUUGAAGACGACGACGUUGAUAGGCCGGGUGUGUAAGCGCAGCGAUGCGUUGAGCUAACCGGUACUAAUGAACCGUGAGGCUUAACCUUACAACGCCGAAGCUGUU